GAUGAACGCUGGCGGCGUGCCUAAUACAUGCAAGUCGAGCGAACUGAUUAGAAGCUUGCUUCUAUGACGUUAGCGGCGGACGGGUGAGUAACACGUGGGCAACCUGCCUGUAAGACUGGGAUAACUUCGGGAAACCGAAGCUAAUACCGGAUAGGAUCUUCUCCUUCAUGGGAGAUGAUUGAAAGAUGGUUUCGGCUAUCACUUACAGAUGGGCCCGCGGUGCAUUAGCUAGUUGGUGAGGUAACGGCUCACCAAGGCAACGAUGCAUAGCCGACCUGCGAGGGUGAUCGGCAACACUGGGACUGAGACACGGCCCAGACUCCUACGGGAGGCAGCAGUAGGGAAUCUUCCGCAAUGGACGAAAGUCUGACGGAGCAACGCCGCGUGAGUGAUGAAGGCUUUCGGGUCGUAAAACUCUGUUGUUAGGGAAGAACAAGUACGAGAGUAACUGCUCGUACCUUGACGGUACCUAACCAGAAAGCCACGGCUAACUACGUGCCAGCCGCCGCAGUAAUAC
rnacentral:rRNA from 1 species